GUAAUGGUGUCUUUAGACACCACCUUCAAUCUUCAAAAAAAAAAAU
rfam:Picea glauca, whole genome shotgun sequence.